UGUUAACGAGAAUCAGUUUCCCCAUUAUGAAUUUAUUGAGGCGUCCUUUCAAAUUUACAAGAAAUAUUGUUUAGGUGUAUGGGAGAAUGGGAGUUGAUAGUUAUAUUCAAGGCAAAUCGGAUAACCAUUAAUUUUCGAUUGACUGGGUGGUGUAUUAUUUAGCAUGCUUGACUAUUGGGCCGAGGGUCGUGGGCUCGAUUGCCACCUUGGGCAAACAUUCGUGUGAUGAACAAGUUUGCUUUCUUACUGUAUCUUUAAAGCUACAUCUAUGAUUCUUGUGACAUCGUUGGAAAACGAAUGCUUCUUUAAGCACCAUUAUUGAACGGCAUGCAUUACGUUGCAUUGUCAGACUCUGAACAAUUAGAUUUGAUUUCAAAUGCUCAACAAUGAACGAUAACUUUACCAAAUAAAAUGAAGCUAUGGUAUAAUAAUAAAAAAUAACUUUUAAAGUUUUUAAUUGAAUGGUCACACCCCAGGGACUACCGUGCCGACUCGGACUAACAACUUUUAAAUUCAUUUCAAUUAAUUUAAUACUGUUUUGUAUCCCCAAAGGUAAAAAAUCGAUACACGUUUGAAUAUUCUAAUGACAUUUGUUCGACAAGAGGCAGACCAAAGGGCUGAAUGAGUUUUCACAAUAUUGGAUCGAAGUUCAAAAAUAAAAUGAAUAAAGACUCCCAUGAAGCAUUAGAUACGGUCAUAUUGAAACACCUCUGGAAGAUACGUGCGGAAAUGGGUGUACUGCCCCGUCUAAUAAUACGUUUAAGGAGGCGAUGCUACAGUACCGCAGUGAUUAAAAUGGACGACAUCCUUUUAGGAAACUUCCAAAUCCAGGGUGGGCGCACUGUGUGGUGAUGAUCAUGAGCAAUCUCUACUCUUCAGUGAGGCUUGAAUAGCGACCGGAAUGGCGAGUAGAUCAACGAUCUCCACUUGCGACGGGCCCACGAUCAGAUACGACUACACAAUCUUACAAAACUACAAACAUCAUCAAAGAAAUACAAAAACAGAACUUGAAA